UACGGAGGGUGCAAGCGUUAUCCGGAUUUACUGGGUUUAAAGGGUGCGUAGGUGGUUCUGUAAGUCAGUGGUUAAAUCUCCGAGCUUAACUCGGAAACUGCCAUUGAUACUAUAGGUCUUGAAUUAUCUGGAGGUGAGCGGAAUAUGUUAUGUAGCGGUGAAAUCCUUAGAUAUGACAUAGACCACCAAUUGCGAAGGCAGCUCACUACGGAUAUAUUGACACUGAGGCACGAAAGCGUGGGGAUCAAACAGG
rnacentral:rRNA from 1 species